CGUGAGAACCAGAUCAAGGAGAGAGAGAGAGUGAAGGAACGAGCUCUAGCCACCACCGUUCACCUUUUUCGUCGCCGGCGCCGAUUCCGGCCAAAAUUUUUACACCAUCCUCUUCCUCUCCUCAUGGGAUUUCUAUCCAUAUAAGUUUCAUAAUUUAAUUUCACUUGUGUGCAACGAAUCGAAGGAGAGAAGGUUUGAUAAUUCUUGGCUAAUUUCCCGAUUUCCGGCCAAACCGUCGACUUUUUGGAGAAACCCCAAGGUAAUCCGGUUGAGCAAACUUCCGUGGACAUUCCCGAGACGGGACUCACCUAGUCACCCUUCAUUGUGAGUUGGACUUUGUUUUAAAGAAAUGCAUGCAAUUACUUCAAUUCUUGAUAUUUGAUUUCUUUAAUUAUCUAUUUAAUAUUCAAGAAGUUUAUUGUGAUUUCUCGUAAAUUAAUUGUUGUGGUCAUGAUGCAAUUUUAUAAUUUAUGUUUGAAGUAAAUUGCUUAUUUUCGGGAAAGAAAGAACCUUUUCAGAUGGUCUUUUAGAUAUGAAGUUUUAAGUGUUGUUACGUAUACGAAAAGAAAGAACCUUCUAUUUUGGCAAAGUAAAUUGAAUUUCAACUUACCUUACGAGUACCCAACCCCAGCAAGAAACAACGAUACUUCAUCAGUUUUCCGGUUACGUGCACGUAUACCCUCAUGCUCUGCUUGUGUACCGGCAGACGCACAAGUGUACGACCAACUCCCCGGCUCUGCCUGAUGCGCACAGGUGUACGACCAGUUCUCCCCCCUCCCCCGCUCUGCUCAUGUUGAGUUCGCUCAACAUGGGUGCAUGACCAGUUGUCCGCCACGCUCUACCUAUUUUGAUUUAGAUCAUUGUAGGUGUAUGACCAGUUUUGGGUACAAGUUUGGUAAUGCUUUUCAGUUUUGGAAGUUAUGCAAGAUGCCCUGGAUUAGGUUACCCUUGCAAGCAAGUAUCGAGUUACUCGCCGGUUAUUACCUUCAGUUUUCUUGAGACCUUACUAAAGAAAAGUGUUUAUCUUGUUAUAAGUUUAUCUUAUAAAUUGGUAUUUGAAAGUAUUCGUGACUUAUAACUUUUGAACUUGUCUUUUUACUAUAAGUGAUUAAUUGCAUGCCAAAGGUUUACGAAAGAAAAAUGAUUUUAAGGAAAAUAAGAUUUUUGGAAAGUAUUUUUUUUCUAUUCAAUUAUUUUUGUCUUCUCACUGAGCUUGUCUCACGUUUUCUAUGAUUUUCUCGGGGCUCUUUGGUUUUCUGUUUUGCCCAGGUUAGCGUUGCAGAGGUCGGAUCAAUAUCCACGUCAAAGGCAUGCAUCCACUUGAUCUUCUUGAUCUUUUGACAUCAGUCGUAUAGUUUACUUAGUAAUAGUUCUUAUGUUAAUUAGAGGAGCUUUGAGAUGCCAUAAGUAAAUUGAGGUCUAUUGAAAUUGCAUGUAAAUAUUGGACGAGACACUUUGUUUUAUCUAUUCAUUGAUGGUUAGUGAAA